rnacentral:rRNA from 1 species
UACGGAGGGUGCAAGCGUUAUCCGGAUUCACUGGGUUUAAAGGGUGCGUAGGAGGGCAGGGAAGUCCGUGGUGAAAUCCUAGAGCUUAACUCUAGAACUGCCGUGGGUACUCUCUGUCUUGAAUCCCGUGGAGAUGAGCGGAAUAUGUCAUGUAGCGGUGAAAUGCUUAGAUAUGACAUAGAACACCAAUUGCGAAGGCAGCUCGUUACACGAAGAUUGACUCUGAGGCACGAAAGCGUGGGGAUCAAAACAGG